CGCUCCCUGCUAAACAAAAAUAUAGGGAGUCCUGCCUGCCCAGUGACUAGAGGUUAAACGGCCGCGGUAUCUUGACCGUGCGAAGGUAGCAUAAUCAUUUGUCUCCUAAAUAGAGACUAGUAUGAAUGGCAAGACGGAACAAAACUGUCUCUUUCUCAUGACACAGAACUUCACUUUCCCGUGAAGAGGCGGGAAUAAACUCGCUAGACGAGAAGACCCUGUCGAGCUUUAGCAAACUUCAAGCCCUUAAUUCGUUUACCAUGAACUAAUUAAUAAAAUUAUUCCAACAAUAAACUUUUCGGCCCUUGAAGAAAGCUUUGGUUGGGGCAACCGCGGAGAAAAAUAAUCCUCCGCUAAUAAUACACUAUACAAAGAGCUACAACUCUAUAAUCAAAAGAAACAAAUGAUCCACUAAGGUGAUCAAAGGAACAAGUUACCGCAGGGAUAACAGCGUCAUCUUUUCUGAGAGUCCACAUUGACGAAAAGGUUUGCGACCUCGAUGUUGGAUCGGGACAUCCUGAGGGUGCAGAAGCUUUCAAGGGUUGGUCUGUUCGACCAUUAAAGUCCU
rnacentral:rRNA from 1 species